UACACUCCUACGGGAGGCAGCAGUGGGGAAUUUUGGACAAUGGGCGCAAGCCUGAUCCAGCCAUGCCGCGUGCGGGAAGAAGGCCUUCGGGUUGUAAACCGCUUUUGUCAGGGAAGAAAAGGUUCUGGCUAAUACCUGGGACUCAUGACGGUACCUGAAGAAUAAGCACCGGCUAACUACGUGCCAGCAGCCGCGGUAAUACGUAGGGUGCAAGCGUUAAUCGGAAUUACUGGGCGUAAAGCGUGCGCAGGCGGUUAUGCAAGACAGAGGUGAAAUCCCCGGGCUCAAACUGGGAACUGCCUUUGUGACUGCAUGGCUAGAGUGCGGUAGAGGGGGAUGGAAUUCCGCGUGUAGCAGUGAAAUGCGUAGAUAUGCGGAGGAACACCGAUGGCGAAGGCAAUCCCCUGGACCUGUACUGACGCGCAUGCACGAAAGCGUGGGGAGCAAACAGAAUUAGAAACCCCAGUAGUCCCAUG
rnacentral:rRNA from 1 species